GAUGAAGAACGUAGCGAAAUGCGAUAAGUAAUGUGAAUUGCAGAAUUCAGUGAAUCAUCGAAUCUUUGAACGCACAUUGCGCCCCUUGGUAUUCCGGGGGGCAUGCCUGUUCGAGCGUCAUUACAACCCUCAAGCUCUGCUUGGUCUUGGGCGUCACCGGUCCCCGGUGUGCCUUAAAAUCAGUGGCGGCGCCAUCUGGCUCUAAGCGUAUUACAUACUCUCGCUACAGACGUCCGGUGGAUGCUGGCCAGCAACCCCCAAUUUAUCAAGGUUGACCUCGGAUCAGGUAGGGAUACCCGCUGAACUUAAGCAUAUCAAUAAGCGGAGGA
rnacentral:misc_RNA from 1 species